rnacentral:rRNA from 1 species
GCCCUGCUACAAAUUUGCAAGGUGAAACCUGCUCAAUGGCUGCUAAUAAACAAUAACAACAGUUAAAUAGCCGCGGUAACUCUGACCGUGAUAAAGUAGCAUAAUCACUCGUCAUUUAAUUGGUGACUGGAAUGAAUGGUUAAACGAAUCUCUUACUGUCUCAAAAAGAAAUCUAACUAAAUUGAAAUGGUAGUGAAGAUGCUAUCAUAUGAUUAUAAGACGAAAAGACCCUAUUGAGCUUUACUAAAAGCUUAUAAUUAACCUCACUUAAAUAUUUAUAUAACGAAAAUUUUUGUAAGUUUGUUAGUUUGGUUGGGGCGACCACCUCUAAAAUAGUAUCAGAGGAAUUCUAAAGGUUUUGUAGUAAUAUAAAAAGCCUUACUGAAUAUUUAUGAAUUAAACAGUUACUUAUUGGUAGGAUAUAGUGACCCGUUAAUUAAUUUUAUUAAAUUAACGAAUAUAGAAAAAGUUACCAUAGGGAUAACAGGGUAAUAUUUUUGAAGAGUUCAUAUCGAUAAAAAUGUUUGCCACCUCGAUGUUGAAUUGUGGUAUCCUAAAGGUGCAGCAGCUUUUAAGGGUUG